AGUCGAGGGGCAUCAGGAAGAAAGCUUGCUUUCUUUGCUGGCGACCGGCGCACGGGUGAGUAACACGUAUCCAACCUGCCCUUUACUCGGGGAUAGCCUUUCGAAAGAAAGAUUAAUACCCGAUGGGAUAAUUAUUCCGCAUGGUUUGAUUAUUAAAGGAUUCCGGUAAAGGAUGGGGAUGCGUUCCAUUAGGUUGUUGGUGAGGUAACGGCUCACCAAGCCUUCGAUGGAUAGGGGUUCUGAGAGGAAGGUCCCCCACAUUGGAACUGAGACACGGUCCAAACUCCUACGGGAGGCAGCAGUGAGGAAUAUUGGUCAAUGGGCGCUAGCCUGAACCAGCCAAGUAGCGUGAAGGAUGAAGGCUCUAUGGGUCGUAAACUUCUUUUAUAUAAGAAUAAAGUGCAGUAUGUAUACUGUUUUGUAUGUAUUAUAUGAAUAAGGAUCGGCUAACUCCGUGCCAGCAGCCGCGGUAAUACGGAGGAUCCGAGCGUUAUCCGGAUUUAUUGGGUUUAAAGGGAGCGUAGGUGGACUGGUAAGUCAGUUGUGAAAGUUUGCGGCUCAACCGUAAAAUUGCAGUUGAUACUGUCAGUCUUGAGUACAGUAGAGGUGGGCGGAAUUCGUGGUGUAGCGGUGAAAUGCUUAGAUAUCACGAAGAACUCCGAUUGCGAAGGCAGCUCACUGGACUGCAACUGACACUGAUGCUC
rnacentral:rRNA from 1 species